GUAGGUGGCAAGCGUUGUCCGGAAUUAUUGGGCGUAAAGCGCGCGCAGGCGGUUCUUUAAGUCUGAUGUGAAAGCCCACGGCUCAACCGUGGAGGGUCGUUGGAAACUGGAGAACUUGAGUACAGAAGAGGAAAGCGGAAUUCCACGUGUAGCGGUGAAAUGCGUAGAGAUGUGGAGGAACACCAGUGGCGAAGGCGGCUUUCUGGUCUGUAACUGACGCUGAGGCGCGAAAGCGUGGGGAGCAAACAGGGAUUAGAUACCCGGGUAGUCCACGCCGUAAACGAUGAGUGCUAAGUGUUAGGGGGUUUCCCGCCCCUUAGUGCUGCAGCUAACGCAUUAAGCACUCCGCCUGGGGAGUACGGCCGCAAGGCUG
rnacentral:rRNA from 1 species